UACAGAGGUCUCAAGCGUUGUUCGGAUUCAUUGGGCGUAAAGGGUGUGUAGGUGGCGCGCUAAGUCGGGUGUGAAAUUUCGGAGCUUAACUCCGAAAGCUGCAUUCGAUACUGGCGUGCUUGAGGACUGGAGAGGAGACUGGAAUUCAUGGUGUAGCAGUGAAAUGCGUAGAGAUCAUGAGGAAGACCCAGUGGCGAAGGCGGGUCUCUGGACAGUUCCUGACACUGAGACACGAAGGCCAGGGGAGCAAACGGG
rnacentral:rRNA from 1 species